GCAAACUUGGUCAUUUAGAGGAAGUAAAAGUCGUAACAAGGUUUCCGUAGGUGAACCUGCGGAAGGAUCAUUACUGAAGAAAUGGUAGAGUUGAGCUGACUCUUUGGAGUAUGUGCUCGCACUAUCGCUUUUUCUAUUCUCCCCUGUGAACCUUUUGUAGACUUUUUAUGAUAUUUGGCUUCUUAACAGGAGUUCAUUUGGAGACUCGCAUUUUUAAGAUGCUUGACUCUACCCUUAUCAUAUCAGUCUAUGAUCUUAUAUCUACUCUUCAGUUUAUGAAUGUCUCUUUGUUGGUUUUUUAAUACCAAUAAAUUAUUAUACAACUUUCAGCAACGGAUCUCUUGGCUCUCGCAUCGAUGAAGAACGCAGC
rnacentral:misc_RNA from 1 species